CAGCCGUCCACCUGUGGCUGUCCUACAACAAAACCACUUCCAGGAAAAGGAAAGGGGUACGUGACAGGCCGAAGAAGUCAGGCUACAAACCGGAUGACAACCGGGUUACAUAAUUAGCAGAAGGGAGGAGCUUCAAAUCCUGGCACUCUAACACAGAGAUUGUUCACUUAAGACUACACAGUACUACUUAUGAAAAAAAACUGGCAGAAGGUAAGACAAAUGAUCAACUUCCUUUUGGUGCCCUCUCCAGGUUAGUGAACCAAAUAGGUUCUAGGUUAGAAUCAUCACCAUAAAAGUAGGGGCUAACAUCAGUGACGUCUAAAAUUUCUUUUGGAUCUAUUCUACAACACUACGGAUUUUUGGACAUGAUUUUUUUUUGCUACCUCUAAAGCAGUGAGACCCUCUGGAAUUUCUGUGUAAGAGAGUUUUAGAAGUGGCAACCUGUUUGUUAGAUAAAAUUAGGAAACUUGAAACUACAGUUACAUGGCCAGCAUGCUGUAUUUGGCUUAUAUGCUUAUUCAGAGCAGAUUUUAGAGGCUGGGGGUUAACAGAAAUUGCUAUAAUGCCUCUCCCAGAAGCUACCCCUUGGUGUCUCCAGAUAUGAGUCAUUGUUUCAGAGGUGUGGGAAAAGAAGAAACUCCUGCUUUCGGCAAACCUGUAUUGGGUUUGGUCUGAUAUUGAAGAAUUUUGCCCUUCCUAAAUUGUGGAGGUCAUCUCACCCUCCAGCUAAGCCAAGCAGAGGGUGACAAUGAAUCCAUACAUGACAAAGAAAGUACUCAUGCUUCAGGCCUCUAUCUAAGUCAUUUAGCUAAAUGCUUUUCCACUGGAAUAAGAUUUUGGACUUUAUUUUAAUCAGCAGGUUUUUCCUUUGAGAGGAGUUUCAAAUCUCCCUCUUAGGAAGGUCAUGCUUCCUUUGCCUUGCUAGGCCUCGGGAUAGAAAAUAGGAUUCUCUGGAAAAAGCUAUCACUUAGUAAAUAAUUGAUUGGCGAUUGCUUUGGAUUUGAUUCGCUAAGCUGAGAACCUUCGACACAAACUGUGGAGGGUUCAAGAAUGAAUGCAAAGUAUGUGUGGUUUUUACAAUUUGGUGGUCUAAGCAAGGUAGAGGAUGUCUAGCAGGGCAACAGUGUUCCUUAACCUUGUUUUCUUUGGUUUAAUGUUCACAAGUCAUAGAAUAUACAAAUAGAACAGUCACUAAAUGCUUUUUUCCUUUGAACAAAUAGUUUCAGUUCCUACAGAUACCACCAUUGUACUCCAGUGGCUUAAAAUAGCACUGUGGUCACAAUGUCAGUCCCUAGUAGACCUUCCAGUUUUUCUAGCUAGCAUUUCCCUAAUACCUGUGAUAAUGCGUCUCCCAUAAGCUAACAAAUUAGUUCAGGUGGAGGAAUGGGGCAGGGAGACAGCUGGCUUCAUGCGAAAAAGAAAAUGCUUUCUAGUCCUAUCCGGAUGCAACAAUAUAGAGGAAAUUACAAAGGGGUGUCUAGUUCCUGUGUGGGGCAGGAGGAACACACUUAGAAAAUGUAGGAACUGUCAAAGCAAGGACUCUCUCUUAGCUGGGUGAGGUGGCUUAUGCCUGUAAUCCCAGCAUUUGGGAGGCCAAGGCAGGGGGAUUGCUUGAGCCUAGGAGUUUGAGACCAGCCUACACAACAUGGAAAAACCCUGUUUCCACUAAAAAUACAAAAUUUAGCUGGGCAUGUUGGUGCAUGCCUGUAGUCCCAGCUACUCAGGAAGCUGAGGCAGGGGGAUUGCUUAAGCUUAGGAGGUCAAGGCUGCAGUGAGCCGGGAUUGUGCCACUGCACUCCAGCCUGGGUGACAGAGCAAGACCCUGUCUCAAAGCAAACAAACAAACCCUCCCUAUCUUCAGAUAUGUGCCCAGUGCUGGGAAUGGAAAAAUGAUAAGACUCAGUGCUGUUCUAAUAGAGUAAAUAAUACUUCAUAAGGUUAAAGAGGAAGUGGGUGAUGCUAAGAAACUAGAGAUGUAAACUACUGUUUCCCAAAAGAUUAAUGGUGAAGAGAAAGGUAGCUCCAGGUGAGUGCAAUGUUGAGUGAAGAAUUAAUUUAUAGUGUGUGUCUGAGGGUAAGGGUGCUUGAGCAUAUUAGUAAAUGAUAGAGCCAUGUUGAGGAUGAGGAGAAACCGACAGUGUCUUUCAAGGUACUUCUCCCAUAGUAUCAGUACAUGUGUUUGCACGUUGAUUUAUUGGUUUAUCCCAUUCUCCUUACUAUGCACUAGGCCAGUGCUAGACUCUGGAACAAAAUGAUGUCCCCUGACAACACACACAAAAAAUUCACUCUCCACUCUUUCUUCUUCCCUGAACUCCUUCCCCAGAAACCACUUCCAGGUGUGCUUCUGCCUCAUGCUCAGGGCCACUCAAAGCCAAGUCUUUCCAACUUUAUCACUUCCUUUGUUUUGAAGAAGGGUCAGAGGAAGUGCUUUUACCAUGUGUUUUGUUUCUUGUGCAAAGCCCACAGGACCUGAUGGUUUGGCGCCCCCCAGGGGUACCCAAUGGGCCUCUUUCCUGCUCACUAACAGAUAAGGGGAACUGAGGGGCCCACGGAGGCCAGCCUGAAUGAUAAACUUUAUGUACCCUAAAUUUUCUAAUAUUUAGGGGUCAGGGGAAGGGGAGACUGCAGUCCCUGGAAGCUUUCUUUAGUGUAAC
rnacentral:lncRNA from 1 species